rnacentral:rRNA from 1 species
GACGAACGCUGGCGGCGUGCCUAAUACAUGCAAGUAGAACGCUGAAGAGAGGAGCUUGCUCUUCUUGGAUGAGUUGCGAACGGGUGAGUAACGCGUAGGUAACCUGCCUUGUAGCGGGGGAUAACUAUUGGAAACGAUAGCUAAUACCGCAUAACAAUGGAUGACACAUGUCAUUUAUUUGAAAGGGGCAAUUGCUCCGCUACAAGAUGGACCUGCGUUGUAUUAGCUAGUAGGUGAGGUAAUGGCUCACCUAGGCGACGAUACAUAGCCGGCCUGAGAGGGUGAUCGGCCACACUGGGACUGAGACACGGCCCAGACUCCUACGGGAGGCAGCAGUAGGGAAUCUUCGGCAAUGGGGGCAACCCUGACCGAGCAACGCCGCGUGAGUGAAGAAGGUUUUCGGAUCGUAAAGCUCUGUUGUAAGUCAAGAACGGGUGUGAGAGUGGAAAGUUCACACUGUGACGGUAGCUUACCAGAAAGGGACGGCUAACUACGUG